UGGGGAAUUUUGGACAAUGGGGGCAACCCUGAUCCAGCAAUGCCGCGUGUGUGAAGAAGGCCUUCGGGUUGUAAAGCACUUUUGUCCGGGAAGAAAUCGCACCUGAUAAUACCGGGUGUGGAUGACGGUACCGGACGAAUAAGGACCGGCUAACUACGUGCCAGCAGCCGCGGUAAUACGUAGGGUCCAAGCGUUAAUCGGAAUUACUGGGCGUAAAGCGUGCGCAGGCGGUUGUGCAAGACCGAUGUGAAAUCCCCGGGCUUAACCUGGGAAUUGCAUUGGUGACUGCACGGCUAGAGUGUGUCAGAGGGGGGUAGAAUUCCACGUGUAGCAGUGAAAUGCGUAGAGAUGUGGAGGAAUACCGAUGGCGAAGGCAGCCCCCUGGGAUAACACUGACGCUCAUGCACGAAAGCGUGGGGAGCAAACAGG
rnacentral:rRNA from 1 species